AGUAGCAUCCCCUGUUUCUGUGUGAGAACAUCUUCAACCUGCACAAUGUGUUCCACAUGGUUAUGCUAGAGUUUAAAAGACCUCAUCCUCUUUGUUUUUCUUGAAUAUUUCUUUGUUUAAUCUUCCACUGAAGGACUCUGUUACAGCUGGGCGUCCUCUGGUCAGAGGUGCCCUUGUAUUGUGAACAACAGCGAGACAGUGGGAGGAAUCGUGGACUGCUGAUCUUCGCAUGCCCUGCUGCUCCCUGCUGCAGGGACUCAGAUGCUCUGGCAUGAUGAUGAUGUCUUUGCCAUGGUUACAAACUGGAUGGAAAACAAAUCUAUUAUUUUUUUUCUACAAGACCGAUACUAAUCCAACCUUACUUACUGAAAGACGUUUGUUUUUUUUAAAGACAGGAAAGAAACAAACAUUUGUGCUUAUAACAAGGCAUGUCAGAAGGUUUGGACGACCAAUGACACACCUGUAUAUUUAAUCUAGCUUAUUUUAUUGCAGAGGAUUAACCUUGAGUGUGUUUCAAACAAAAUCCAUCUUUUAGGUAUUUCCAAGGCUGUGAAAUAGCUGACAGAAUACUGCAAGGUUAACAAAUUCAUGAUGACCUUUACUCCAACAGCUGAAGACCUUCCAGGGAGCAAAGGAGGCAGUAUGGAUUAAAUCAGUGGGUAACUUUAUAAAGCAGAUGUGAAAAAUAAAGCUCCUCUAAAACGAAAGUACACUGCAAGAAAGAACCACAGCUCAUGUCAAAAUAGGAUGAGCUUGUAGGUGUUGCUAUUCAUUACAUUCUAGAUGAGAAAUAGUUUAUUGUACCACAGCUCUGUCAGUUUUGUCUGAGCUUUAAAUGGAUCAGCCUUUUCAUGCUAGAAGCAUUCUGGUUUUCAAACCUGUAUAAUAAUCCUAAGGCAACAUUUCCUGCCCUUAAGUGAACUGUAACAUGAUAUUUUCAUUUUGUGCAUUUCCUCUACUUGUACAUUAAUUACACACACUGCACAAUAAGUAGUUGUUUUACUUCAGCUCAGCCAAAAAGUGUGUAAUCCGACAUGAAUCAUGUUCAUGCUGUGUGUCCCAAUUAGAGAAAUCGUAGGGAGCCGCCUGGUGCAAUGUUACCAUGUCACCAAGCUUUACUGUAGCAAGGAAAUUUAAAUCUGCCCUUUUCUAAAAAAUCUGGCUUACAUAAGGAACGAUCUAUCUCCUUCCAAAUCACUCUAAAAACAAAACUUGUCUUUAAUUCAACAUAUUGUCCUCAUAUGGUUGUGAUUUCCAAAAGGAUAACAGCAAACGAAACUUGGCUCUGCAACACACCAGUGUGAACGAUGUUUGCACAGUCUGGGUGAGAGAGAGUGUGCAUGUGUGUGUCCAUCUGUCAUAACUUGUUCAUCGCAGUUCUUUUGCUUAUUGAUUUUCUCAACAUAUCUCUUUGAGUUUUGUGUUCUGUCUCUUUCCGACUCCCUUGCCACUGAUCGAACUGAUGUCCCUCCUGACCUCUCCUCGGCUGCUCUUUUUAGACACUAACAGACAGCUGCUCCUCUGUUUGUUUUGUGUUCGUAGAGGCAAAAUGAUCCCAGCUCUGUAACAUAAGGAAAUGCCACUUAUCUGUCUGUGUUUGCUGUCUGUGAAUCUGCUGCAUUCUAUGCUGACACACAUUUUAUCUUAAAAUGUUAAAAAGAAAAAUCACCCACUUUAGAUUAGUCCAGAAUCAAAGCUAAUUCUGUGCCUGUUUAUUAACACAUUGGGCGGCCAAUAUCUGAUAUGCUGUAGUAAACAGAUCUGCAUCGACGGCAGACACUCUCUUACAUAAGUGAUUUAUUGUCUAGCUCCUAAAUGUUCCGCUCUAACUAAAUGAUUCACUCGUAUGUUGUCUUGAUACUCCCUAAACAAUGUGAUGAGUCAAAUUAAGACUCAAUUAUCUGAAUUAUCAAUGUAGAAAAUGUGACAAUCUUGUGUCAGCUUUAAACACCCUUCUCAGAGCUUGGCAUUUCUGUCACGAUCACGGGCUUUGUAAUUAAAUGGGUUUUGUCUGCUCA